CAUGAUAUUGGAUCUUCUUUCCUUAUUUGGAAUGGCAUUAAUUACGUAUGGGUCUGCACAUGGAGAAAGGGUAUAAAGCCUUGGAACAUUGCGCUACACACAUUUGAAGCCGACGGACAGAUGGAAGAUUACAUCAUCCGAUCCUGAAAAUCCUUCCGGCGCAGUGACAAAAACAGCAGACUCUACACAAAGGUUCCUGCUUUUUCCUGGGAACAGAUAAGCAAUUUUUAAAUGACUGUCAUGGUCGUUGUCCAGCAGUCAAUUUCUAUGACAGCAGAUCUUGAUGGUUCCAUACACCCUACAACUGAAGAAUUUUCAGUGUAUCCAUGGAAAUGCUCCACAAUAUCUCAAAGAGCUCCUUAUAUUACAAUUCACUACAAGAAACCUCCGUUUUACAAAUACCUACCGCCUUCGCCCCCCUGUCACCAAACUUCAUACAAUGGGUGACUGAGCCUUUGCAGCCGCUGCUCCACGGCUCUGGAA